rnacentral:rRNA from 1 species
GUAUUAUUUAUUAACCAUUAAAAGAGCCCUCACUAAGACAAAACAUAAUUAGAUUAGUACUACCAAAUAAACUCUAACUUAUUAACUCCCGCAAGGAAUUUAAAACUAAAACCUUAGAAGUGAUUAAUUCACCUACCUUCUGCAUAAUGUAGUUGCAAGAAAUAAAAAUUAAACAUUGCUUCCCGAAAAGUGGAGAGCUACUAUAAGCAAUUUUAACCUUUAAUGUAACACUAUUAAAAAACAGCUUAUAAUAGCAGCGAAAUACCUAUCGAGCCACUUGAUAGCUGGUUGUCCCUUAAAUACAUAUAAGUGUACUCUUACAGUAUAGAUCAACACUAUUUCUCUGUAAGAAAAACCCUAAGAGGGACAAGCUUCUUAGGGCUACUAGAAACAAGGUAAUACCAGUACUUCAAAAAGGCUUAAAAACAGCCAAAUAUAUCCGUUAUAGGAAACGGCACCAAAAACCAAAAUAAAUUAACAAAUUCUAACCUAUUAAGGGACCUUACAGGUCAACUAAUUCUUUAACGAACCGGCAAUUAUUAGUAUCACAAAGUCACACAAUAUAAGUUUACCACUAUAAAUAAACAACCACAAAUAAUCAAUCACUCUAACCUACUAUUGGUAAUGAAUUCGGCAAAACCUUUCUUUGCCUGUUUAUCAAAAACAUCGUCUUUUGAUACCACAUUUAUAAAAGAUACUGCC